GACGAACGCUGGCGGCGUGCUUAACACAUGCAAGUCGAACGCUGAAGCUCAGCUUUUGUUGGGUGGAUGAGUGGCGAACGGGUGAGUAACACGUGAGUAACCUGCCCCCUUCUUUGGGAUAACGCCCGGAAACGGGUGCUAAUACUGGAUAUUCACUGGUCUUCGCAUGGGGGUUGGUGGAAAGGGUUUUUCUGGUGGGGGAUGGGCUCGCGGCCUAUCAGCUUGUUGGUGGGGUGAUGGCCUACCAAGGCUUUGACGGGUAGCCGGCCUGAGAGGGUGACCGGUCACAUUGGGACUGAGAUACGGCCCAGACUCCUACGGGAGGCAGCAGUGGGGAAUAUUGCACAAUGGGCGCAAGCCUGAUGCAGCGACGCCGCGUGAGGGAUGGAGGCCCUCGGGUUGUGAACCUCUUUCGCUCAUGGUCAAGCCGCAACAAUGGUUGUGGUGAGGGUAGUGGGUAAAGAAGCGCCGGCUAACUACGUG
rnacentral:rRNA from 1 species